rnacentral:rRNA from 1 species
GACGAACGCUGGCGGCGUGCCUAAUACAUGCAAGUUGAGCGAUGAAGAUUGGUGCUUGCACCAAUUUGAAGAGCAGCGAACGGGUGAGUAACGCGUGGGGAAUCUGCCUUUGAGCGGGGGACAACAUUUGGAAACGAAUGCUAAUACCGCAUAAUAACUUUAAACAUAAGUUUUAAGUUUGAAAGAUGCAAUUGCAUCACUCAAAGAUGAUCCCGCGUUGUAUUAGCUAGUUGGUGAGGUAAAGGCUCACCAAGGCGAUGAUACAUAGCCGACCUGAGAGGGUGAUCGGCCACAUUGGGACUGAGACACGGCCCAAACUCCUACGGGAGGCAGCAGUAGGGAAUCUUCGGCAAUGGACGAAAGUCUGACCGAGCAACGCCGCGGGAGUGAAGAAGGGUUUCGGAUCGUAAAACUCUGUUGGUAGAGAAGAACGUUGGUGAGAGUGGAAAGCUCAUCAAGUGACGGUAACUACCCAGAAAGGGACGGCUAACUACGUG